UCUCUCUUUCUAACUUCCCACCUUGCCAAUUUCCUAACUUCGAAUCUUGCCAACUUCCUAACUUGCCAACUUCCUAACCUGUGACGUUCCCUAUUUGCUGAUUUCCUAACUUUCCACCUUCCCAUCUUGCCAACUUCUCACCUUGCCGCCUUCCCAACUUCCUAACUUGCCGCCUUCCCAAUUUGCCAGCUUGCCAACUUACUAACCUGUCAUCUUCCCAAUUUGACAACUUCCUAACUUCUACCUUGCCAACUUCUCACCUUGCCAACUUGCCACUUUCCCAACUUCCUAACAUGCCGCCUUCCCAAUUUGCCAAUUUCCUAACUUGCCGCCUUCCCAACUUCCUAACUUGCCGCCUUCCCAAUUUGACAACUUCCUAACCUUCGACCUUCCCUAUUUGCUAAUUUCCUAACUUCCCAUCUUGCCAACUUCUCACCUUGCCAACUUGCUGCCUUCCCAACAUCCUAACUUGCCACCUUCCCAAUUUGCCAAUUUCCUAACUUGCCGCCUUCCCAAUUUGAUAACUUCCCAACUUGCCACCUUCCCAACUUCCUAACCCGUCAUCUUCCCAAUUUGACAACUUCCUAACUUCCCACCUUGCCAACUUCUCACCUUGCCAACUUGCCACUUUCCCAACUUCCUACCUUGUCGCCUUCCUAAUUUCCCAACUUCCUAACUUGCCUAUUUCCCAACUUCCUAAUUUCCCGACGUUCUAAAUUAUCAACUUCCCAACAGUGUUCAGCUACAAUUGGGUCAUUUUGUGUUAUUUUUCUGCACACCAAAGCACAUAUUUUGGGGGCAAACCCUGUCAUCCAGACGACAUCCAGCUA
rnacentral:lncRNA from 1 species